rnacentral:rRNA from 1 species
UACAGAGGUCCCGAGCGUUGUUCGGAUUCAUUGGGCGUAAAGGGUGCGUAGGCGGCGGGGCAAGUCUGAUGUGAAAUCCCGGGGCUCAACCCCGGAACUGCGUUGGAUACUGCCUUGCUCGAGUACUGGAGAGGGAACUGGAAUUUACGGUGUAGCAGUGAAAUGCGUAGAGAUCGUAAGGAAGGCCAGUGGCGAAGGCGAGUUCCUGGACAGUUACUGACGCUGAGGCACGAAGGCCAGGGGAGCAAACGGG